rnacentral:lncRNA from 1 species
UCUCACCUAACAGUUAUUGGUAACAUGCACACCGAUGUGUGGUUAACUCUUUGCCCAUAUGCUUCACUAAGCAUGUUGCAGCUACUUGGUCUCUAAGUCAUGUGAGCUCAUCUAACAGUUAUUGCUCACACUUCUUAGUUAAGCCCGACCCACCAUUCAAAAGCAGGUGCAAGAUCAUUAUUGGGUCCCUCACCUAACAGUUAUUGGAUCCAACCCCAUCCUUACCCUGGAGCAACUCUUUGCUAAUAGAGUAGUUGCAUGUUUUCAAUGUAACUAAACCACUGUAACC